GCCUUGGCCGGCCUUCCUCCUCGCCUGGGUGAGAUUCUGAGUUUAAGGACUACACUCACGUUCCUUGGUUCCUGCAUUCCCCGCAUCCUGGCGCUGCCACUACCUGAAAUGAACAGGCCACUACAUGGAAUGAACAGUGGGCGUGGUGAAGGGCGGCUGUGGCGCUGAAUCAAACUGUUAAAGGAGUUGAUACCCACCCGUACUGUUAAAUAUUGAUGCGGUGGACUGAGCUAGCUAG